GGCCGCUUGCUGGAACUGGUAGACAGACCGGACUUAAAAUCCGUUGCUCGCAAGGGCGUGUGGGUUCGACUCCCACAGCGGCCA
rnacentral:tRNA from 2 species